rnacentral:rRNA from 1 species
CAGUCGCCACGGGAAUACGGAGGGGGCUAGCGUUGUUCGGAAUUACUGGGCGUAAAGCGCACGUAGGCGGCUUGGUAAGUUAGAGGUGAAAGCCCGGAGCUCAACUCCGGAAUUGCCUUUAAGACUGCCGAGCUAGUAGGUGAGAGAGGUAAGUGGAAUUCCGAGUGUAGAGGUGAAAUUCGUAGAUAUUCGGAAGAACACCAGUGGCGAAGGCGGCUUACUGGCUCAUUCUAGACGCUGAGGUGCGAAAGCGUGGGGAGCAAACAGGAUUAGAUACCCGCGUAGUCCCUGUCUCUUAUAC